GAUGAACGCUGGCGGCGUGCCUAAUACAUGCAAGUCGAGCGAACAGAUGAGGAGCUUGCUCCUCUGACGUUAGCGGCGGACGGGUGAGUAACACGUGGAUAACCUACCUAUAAGACUGGGAUAACUACGGGAAACCGGAGCUAAUACCGGAUAAUAUAUUGAACCGCAUGGUUCAAUAGUGAAAGACGGUUUUGCUGUCACUUAUAGAUGGAUCCGCGCCGCAUUAGCUAGUUGGUAAGGUAACGGCUUACCAAGGCAACGAUGCGUAGCCGACCUGAGAGGGUGAUCGGCCACACUGGAACUGAGACACGGUCCAGACUCCUACGGGAGGCAGCAGUAGGGAAUCUUCCGCAAAGGGCGAAAGCCUGACGGAGCAACGCCGCGUGAGUGAUGAAGGUCUUCGGAUCGUAAAACUCUGUUAUUAGGGAAGAACAAAUGUGUAAGUAACUAUGCACGUCUUGACGGUACCUAAUCAGAAAGUCACGGCUAACUACGUG
rnacentral:rRNA from 1 species